rnacentral:rRNA from 1 species
CAGCAGCCACGGUAAAACGUAGGGUGCAAGCGUUAAUCGGAAUUACUGGGCGUAAAGCGUGCGCAGGCGGUUAUAUAAGACAGAUGUGAAAUCCCCGGGCUCAACCUGGGAACUGCAUUUGUGACUGUAUAGCUAGAGUACGGCAGAGGGGGAUGGAAUUCCGCGUGUAGCAGUGAAAUGCGUAGAUAUGCGGAGGAACACCGAUGGCGAAGGCAAUCCCCUGGGCCUGUACUGACGCUCAUGCACGAAAGCGUGGGGAGCAAACAGGAUUAGAUACCCAGUAGUCCCUGUCUCUUAUACC